CUCCUUAACGGUCACUUUACUGAAGACCACAUUUCAGUAGAACCAUUGUGUGACUCUCUGCAGUUCCUCCUGCAGCUUCCCACCUCCCUAUCUUUGUUUGUGCAGUCCCCUUGCCCAGAAUGCUCUGGCCCAUCAUCAGCAUCCUUAAGACCCAGGGGAUGCCUCUUCCCUCAGGAAGCAUUCCCUGGAUAACCCAGAUUCUUCUGGAAUUCUCCUGUGAAGCCAUCUGAAUCUCCUGAUAUUUUUGGCAUAGGGAUCCACGAGUCCUUCCUGCUGAAGUCAGUUCACCACCACAUACCUGCCCUUGAUUAUUAAGAAGAGUGUGCUUCCCAGACACAAGCUCAAGGUGG